rnacentral:sRNA from 2 species
CAAAAAGCUGUCUAGGGUUCCGAUUAAAGAGUAAUCUUUAAUGACUGGUCCGAGAGGGAGCGUACAGCAACAACUGUAUACACGGAAGGAUAAAAGCCUGGGAGAU